UGCCUGUAUCAAAAUAUCUCAUGUACCCUAUAAAUAUGUACACCUACUAUGUACCCGCAAACAUUAAAAAUUAAAAUAUUUUUAAAAAAUUAAUUAAUUAAUCAAAUUCCAUUCUAAGAACAAUCAAGCCGAAAGUGAGGAAUUACUUUAAAUGCUUUGAAGCUCAGCAUCCCGGGGUUCUUAUCCGUCACUAAUUACCUAUACAUUUGCAGGUCUCAGUUUCUUUGCUUUGUAAACAUAGGCUUCUUGUAAGGAUUGGGAUUAUACACUGAAAAAGCUUAGCACAGUAUUAUUACUAUUAUGCUAUCUACAUUAUAUUAUAGGUGAAACACUACAGAUUAUAAUACAUACAAUAUAUACUAAUUGUAUUAUAUAUUGUUAUUUUUUGUCAUUAUGCUAUUUACUAUUGUUCUAUUUAAUAACUCUCUAGAUAAUUUAACAGGACAAAGGUACAGAACAAUCUGGCCCUUACAAGCCGGCGGAGACGGGUACGAAUUACCAUGACAACAGCGCGC
rnacentral:lncRNA from 10 species